CCAACAAGAAAAGGACCAACAAUGCAAUACUUAAUUGUACAUGCUCUGUCAGAUAUACUGUUGCUAAGUGCACUAUAAAGUUGGGCCUUUCUUUUAUCCUUUUAAUAGUAAACAUGAGUAUAACUCUUCCUUUUACAUGUGUACUGGUAAUUUUCUUUUCAUGAGAUAAAUUCAUUUCUCUUUCUUCCCUCAUUCAUAAAUAAAAAUAAAGAAACUGAUUCAUCUUCCUUCUUUCCUCUAGUAUCUCACCGGAUGUUAUCUUCAUUCUCCUCUCAAUCGAUAAUUUUCUUCCUCCAUCCUCUUAACUAAGAUUUUUAGAUGAAUGAUGAGUGUAUAUAACUUUUUUACAUGAUUUCUCUUUCUAGAAUUAUACAAUGUUCAUCUUAAUGAUUCUCAAAUCUAAUUCGUUCUUUUUCUAAUAUUGAGGAAUUUAUGUUCAAAUUCGAACUAUUUAUAUUUUUGAGGUUUUAAAAAAAUUUCUUUAUUAUUGAACUUUUAUUGUCUGUAAUGGUCAUUUGUUUUUCGGUCAUUUGUUAUACUUAUUCAUGUUUGGAUUUAGGUAGUGAGAUGCAAUUUUUAUGGAUGAUUUUGAAUCCAAACUCAAAGAUAAUGGACCAUUUUAGAUAUUUUCUCUUCCAUUUCCUUUUCAGGUUAAGAGUUGGUUGGUGCAACAAUGGUGUUUGCUGAUAUGCUUGAACCAAAUAAAAGAUUUUUCAGUAUUUUUACUUGUAGAUUUUCUGCAAAAUAUUUCUCAAUCAAUUCUAACGAUUUUGAUUUUGUAUUUUUUUUCUUUGGCUUUUAAUGGUAUCUAAGUUGUUAUGAUAGAAGAUAAAUGAAGAUUAUUAUAGUACUUUUACAUAGUAAAAGAUACCUACUUUUCUAAUAAAACUUUUUGUGUUUUAGUGAUUGAUUGAAAAAGCAUUGGCAUAUUUGAUGAGAGAAGAGGAAAAUUUAACAAAGAUAUUAGAGAUAUUGGAGUACAGACGUCACCCUUGACAAUGUUGGCUUCCUUCCCUUCAUAGCAAGGCGAUGAUGAGUCCAAUAUGGCUACCAAUUAACUGGAAAAAUAAAGGGCUCACCUGCUCAAAUUUACUAAUAAUGAGUUAAGGGAGUAUUAACUUGAGUUUGUUGGUCAAUUUGAAAGACUUGUUGGUGCUAUUGCAAGAAGUAUGGAUGCAAUGUUCUGAAUGUCUGUCGAUAAGAGUGAUCUUCAAAUUUUAAGAAUGAUCGCACACAAGUUUGUUGAAGGAGACACACACUGUGAGUAAUUUGAGCAAAUCACGUAUGCACACAAAUUCAGCUAAAAGUAGUAAAAGAUCCUUAAAAUGGUGACUUUUGCCAAAUCGAAGAAUUCUUUGAAGCGCGCUGAAGGAAACAAAUUUUGCAAUCAUCUUGCUUUGGUGAUGGUGCGAGAAAAUUUGCGAAAGUUAUGCUUUUUCGGUUCCAUUAUUCGAAUGAUCAAAUUGUCCAAAACAGAAAUGCAUCUGACAUCAACAUAAAGUUAAUAUGGCUUUGAAUUGCCAAACGAGUUUUGAAUCAAAAAGUAUUGUAUUAGAUGGCUUAUCUUUGAUCUGUUGGAAAAGAGCAUGUUAUAUUAUAGAAGAUAAAGCAUCAUGUAUUAAUUUGCAAGAAAAAAAAUACUUAAUAUGAAUCACUCAAAGAAGCUUCUUAUUCAUA